UACUCUGUUGCUUCAGUGCACGCUGCGAUUCGUGCGAUGCAAAAACGGCCAAGGGGAGGAAGCGAGGAAGAGGAGACAGCGCGAGGGGAAAGAGACAGACACUGACUUCUCAAGCUCUCACUGUUCGGCUCACCACUGUCAACCUCAGUGUUUGUCUUCCAGUUCAGCCUGUGGUCGAUGUGGAUGGUCAGCUUCUUCUACCACAUUAACAUCUGAGGACAGACACAGUAUUCACCGACAGUCGCACUGUGAUGGAUGCAUCGGAGAGCAGCAUAUUUGGCGUACGGGCUGGAGCAGCCAGGGAUCAAACCACCAACCUCCAGAUUAGCAGACGACCUGCUCGCCAUCGGCCACCACCAACUUAUGUCUCAGUCACACUAGAUUAAAAAUAGAAUGACAACCUCAUUGCUACAAUCUGUGGUUGCCAAGUGUUUACAGUGAAUCUUUUUCCUCAUUCAUCAAUUGAUUCCAAGUAAGUGGAGUGACCAACUAGCUACCUAGAGGUGGAGUAUGCAACCACUUAUGAUCGCAGGCAGUUGCAAUGGUCACCUGGCGGGAGACAACAUGUCUCCAAACAAUCAUGGUAUCUGGCAACGGCAGUCAUUCUCAGACAGACUGUCCAAGGUUUACAAAUAAUUGCCACCAAACUUAUAACCUGGACAAAUUGCUGGCACAUUGAAAUCAGUCUGAGGCACUCUGCACUGAGCCUGCAAUGCAACCGGGGAUUUGACUCAACUGGUUACCAAGUAGUGGUAUUCCAGAGAAUUUCAAGCAAGCAAGGUUGCAAUUAAAUUGCUGUCCUGCAGCAACUAUGUUACUAUUUGUGGAGGGAAUUCUAAAUUUCUUUUUCAGCUUUGUGGAGUUUCUGGCUAGACUCUGGAUGUAAGUAGCUAAUGUGAAUGUUUCUUUAAUUAUAUAAAUUAACUUGUUUUUCUGCAGAUGGCAACAGAAUUGUGACUUUUGCCAAUUUAUCACAAACAGCUUGCGCAUAAUUGUCAACUUGAUCCUGUUCUAUAGUAGACCAGCUCCAUGUCAUUCUCAUUUUAUUUCCUUCUUGAUACACCAAAGUCACUUUGAAGACAGACUGACUGUGAGUGGCAACAGAUCUGGUCCCUGUCUUUGAAGCAACCAUUUCAAAGGCAACGAGAUUGCAAGCUCAUUGCUCGAAGAUGCAAUAAUUUUGGUCGUGCCGCAGCCUCCAAACACUGUUUUCCCUUGAGGAACUGUAGAAAAACCUCUUUUACUAGCACAGGAUUAUUAUAUUUGUACUUUUAGGCUAUUCAGUUUACUGCAAUACAAUACCAGGACUAGUAGACUGCCUGCAUUUGAAAAACUGGAGCCACGUAACAGCCCACAGUUUUUGCUUGCGAAUCAAUGAAUUGAUUAAUCACUGACUAAUUACUGAAUCUCUCAUUUCAAGUACUGUAUGAUAUGACGCCGUCUGAAACGUAGUGAAAAAGUACAAAUUUGGUGAACAAACUGAAACGUGUAAGGAAACUAGAAAUAUCCUGUAAUUCUGUCUAAGUGCAUUAUUUGAGAGACUGUAUUUAUUCUCCACCCCUGGGUUCUUUCAGAAAUACUUGGACUCAUUUAUUGCAUUUGCAGUAUUAAAAACAGACUUUUUUUAUUAUUAUUAUUUGUUUGUUUGUGAAAAGCUGACAUUUUGAAGCUGCAGUCCAAGGCUUUCACAUGGCAACGGCCAAAACACCACAACAAUAGCACGCGAAGGUUAAAAUAGAUUUUGGCAAACAAC